rnacentral:rRNA from 1 species
CCUACGGGAGGCAGCAGUGGGGAAUAUUGCACAAUGGGGGGAACCCUGAUGCAGCGACGCCGCGUGGGUGAGGAAGUACUUCGGUAUGUAAAGCCCUAUCAGCAGGGAAGAAAAUGACGGUACCUGAGUAAGAAGCCCCGGCUAACUACGUGCCAGCAGCCGCGGUAUUACGUAGGGGGCAAGCGUUAUCCGGAUUUACUGGGUGUAAAGGGAGCGUAGACGGCAGUGCAAGUCUGGAGUGAAAGGCGGGGGCUCAACCCCCGGACUGCUCUGGAAACUGUACGGCUGGAGUGCAGGAGAGGUAAGUGGAAUUCCUAGUGUAGCGGUGAAAUGCGUAGAUAUUAGGAGGAACACCAGUGGCGAAGGCGGCUUACUGGACUGUAACUGACGUUGAGGCUCGAAAGCGUGGGGAGCAAACAGGAUUAGAUACCCGGGUAGUC